UCUCUAUAAUGAGGUGCACCGCGCGAAAUACCUAACCGUCCUCCCUCUCCAGCCUCUUCACCUUCACGGACUCCGACAACCAGCCUCCCUGUCACUUUGUUCCCUUGCCACCGCCGCCGCCACCACGACUCUUCCUCGCCUCUACCCAUUUGAUGUGUGUGCAUGUGUGUAUGAGAGAGAGAGAGAGAGAGAGACGUUGCAGUGGUAGUUGCGCUUUCUCUUUUGCGUCGUUGAUGAGUCUUAGGGCGGUUGCUGGUUGCGGCGGAUUUGGGUUCUUAGGUUUUGUUAUGGCGAAACGAUUUGGCUUUAGGUGGGUGGCGGCUCUUCGCAUGGAGGUGGCUGUUUGAUUGGAGGUGCGGUGGUUAUGGUGUUUCAUGGUGGUGGGUUGGGCGUUGUUGAUUCUUAUAUAUAUUUUUGGGGGGAUUUGUGGCGGUUUUUAAUCCAAUUUUAAAAAAUAAAUUAAAGAGUACGACACAUAGGUUUAGGUUUAUACCGACCCUAUAACAAAAAAUAAUAUAUUUUAAUUUUGGAAGAAUUCAAUCCUACAUUUUUAUAUUUAUGAAGAUGAAAAAUUUAUUUUAAUCUAAAUUAAAUUGGGUUUCGUUUUUUUAAAUUUUUGGAACAAAUAAAAGAAAAAAUAGGAUCAAAUUCAACUAUUUUUUACCUAAUUGAAUCCUUUAUUAAGAUCACAAGUACCAGCCUGUAAGGCGUAAGCAAUGGCCACUCAGAAGAAGUUUUGUUUGAAUUCCCAGUAGGUCUUAGGGUCGUCGCAGUUGAUCAUGACCCCACUAUUCUUGAUGUCAUUCUGAAUAUGUGUUCUCCAUGUCACUAUCGCGCUGUGGCAUACUCUGAUGUCUCACUUGCAGUGCUUCUCGGACAUGUGCGCAAGUUUUUGCUCCGGAUCCCAAAAAUGUCGGAGACGGCACUGCUCACUUGAAGAGUAUGUUCGGGAGAAAACACAUUGCAUUGAUGUGAUACUCAUUGAAGUUCACAUGCCAUAUGUCGAUAGCCUUCAAUUCCUUCAGCAUGUCACUAACGAAACUAAUGUUCCAGUUAUCAUGAUGUCUCUUGAUGAUGCUCAGAGUACUGUGAUGAAGGCUAUUAGAAAUGGAGCUUGCAAUUAUUGGCUUAAGCCUUUGCAAGAGAGCCUAAUCAAGGUUAUGUGGAUGGAAUAUGCUAGGAAACUCGAGUCAAAAUAUGCUACCAAGAAAAGAAGAUUCUGAAUUUGUUGCUUCUUCUGUUCCUGAUGCAACAGUGACUCAGAUCGGUUCAAAUUUCGAAGAAUCUGAUUCGGAUGAACUGAGUGAUUCUUUAGCAUCCCCAGCAUUGAAACCCGACAAGAAUUGCAUCAACAAUUUGUCAAGGCUGUGAUGUAAAUUGGGCUUGGUAAGGCACAGCCAAAGAAGAUUCUUGCAGUGAUGAAUAUUCCUGGUUGGACAAGACAACAAGUACAGAGUCAUUCACAGAAACAUAAACAUCAGAUGUUGAAAAUGAAAACAUCUGAUGGAGUGACACUGCAACAGAAUGAGAAGUCAUUGUCAAACAUCAUAAAAUCCAGUGAGACUGCAGGGCAUGAUACUAACCAUGUUCCCAAUGCACCUCUUCCUCCUGAGGAGCUCACAAGUAACUCAGCACCAAUAGAAGAAGACGAAAAGCCUAACCUUUCUCUUGCAUAACAAAAUGUAGCAACUACAUUAAUUCAGAAUUUUUUUAUCCUAUUUUGUAAAUGAAAAUUGAAUUCAGAAUUUGACUAGGGAGUUAUCUGUAUUUUGAUACCAUUUUUUGGCUGCGAUUUUAAUUCAGAAUUUGACUCAAGAGAUUCUCAUAUAUUACUUGUUGGUUGGGCGAGACUUGAGAGUACGGUGCACUUUGUAGUGAUUUCAGAUUGUCAUAUAUGAAU